rnacentral:rRNA from 1 species
CUACGGGUUGCAGCAGUGGGGAAUAUUGCACAAUGGAGGAAACUCUGAUGCAGCGACGCCGCGUGAGUGAAGAAGUAUUUCGGUAUGUAAAGCUCUAUCAGCAGGGAAGAUAGUGACGGUACCUGACUAAGAAGCACCGGCUAAAUACGUGCCAGCAGCCGCGGUAAUACGUAUGGUGCAAGCGUUAUCCGGAUUUACUGGGUGUAAAGGGAGUGUAGGUGGCAUGGCAAGUCAGAAGUGAAAGCCCAGGGCUCAACCCUGGGACUGCUUUUGAAACUGCCGAGCUAGAGUGCAGGAGAGGUAAGUGGAAUUCCUAGUGUAGCGGUGAAAUGCGUAGAUAUUAGGAGGAACACCAGCGGCGAAGGCGGCUUACUGGACUGUAACUGACACUGAGGCUCGAAAGCGUGGGGAGCAAACAGGAUUAGAUACCCGUGUAGUC